rnacentral:rRNA from 1 species
GACGAACGCUGGCGGCGUGCUUAACACAUGCAAGUCGAACGGAAAGACCCUGCUUUUGUGGGGUGCUCGAGUGGCGAACGGGUGAGUAACACGUGAGUAACCUGCCCUUGACUUUGGGAUAACUUCAGGAAACUGGGGCUAAUACCGGAUAGGAGCUCCUGCUGCAUGGUGGGGGUUGGAAAGUUUCGGCGGUUGGGGAUGGACUCGCGGCUUAUCAGCUUAUUGGUGGGGUAGUGGCUUACCAAGGCUUUGACGGGUAGCCGGCCUGAGAGGGUGACCGGCCACAUUGGGACUGAGAUACGGCCCAGACUCCUACGGGAGGCAGCAGUGGGGAAUAUUGCACAAUGGGCGGAAGCCUGAUGCAGCAACGCCGCGUGCGGGAUGACGGCCUUCGGGUUGUAAACCGCUUUCGCCUGUGACGAAGCGUGAGUGACGGUAAUGGGUAAAGAAGCACCGGCUAACUACGUG